UGGGUUGUGGCUCAGUGGUAGAGCACUCACCUAGCAUGUGCAAGGCCCUGGGUUCAAUGCUCAGCACCACAU
rfam:Ictidomys tridecemlineatus contig013076, whole genome shotgun sequence.